GUGAUGUCUCUACCUUCCUUUCCAAUAAGAGAUCUUUGCGUUCUGACAAUAGUGCCCGUUUAUAUGCAUUUUUUAAGCAUUUAUUUGGGUACCCCUUUUGUUUGAACUGGUGUUGCAAGGUCUUCGCCUUCAAUUUGAAAUCUUCUACGGAGGAGCAGUUACGUCUUAAUCGUAAAUACUGUCCCACUGGAAUCCCUUUUUUGAGGGGAAGUGGAUGGUGACUUGUCCAGUUCAACAUAUUAUUGGUUGCCGUAGGUUUCCGAAAGAGGGUAGAUGUAAGUACCCCUCCCUCUGACAGAGAGAUAGUGAGAUCUAGAAAGUUGAUUUUAUUGCCACCAAUUUCACUUGUUAGUCUCAGAUUGAUAUGGUUUACAUUUAAAUUGUUAACAAACUCUAGAAAGAGUUCAGAGGUAUCUGUCCAUACAAUCAAUACAUCAUCGAUGUAUCUUUUCCAUAUUCUUAUAUGUCUUGUGUAUUCUUG